AAAACUUAAAACCUUUCAAUUCAUUUUCGAUUUCACAGCUGUCACUCUCUUUUUUUCAUCAUUUUCAAACGACCUUUUUUUUUGGUUUGUUCCUUGUUUCUAAUUCUCUUCUCUGGGAUUUGGCUUUUCAUCGAAUCAAAAAAAUCUGUAAUCUUUCUGUUAAUUCCCGUCUAAAGCUUCAUCCUUUAACACCACCUGGGUCGUGAUGGAAGAUAGAGAAGCACGUUUAGGAACUCGGGAGAUUAAUGAAACUUCUCCGGAUUUGUUGAAGAAUACGCCUUCGAAUAUUGCGAGAUUGGAAGAUGUGAUUGAGCAAUGUUAUGGUAGACAAAAGUAUCUUGCUCAGACUCGAAGUCCAUCUGAUGGGAGUGAUGUUCGGUGGUACUUUUGUAAGGUUCCUUUAGCUGAAAACGAAUUAGCUGCUUCAGUACCUCGCACUGAUGUAGUAGGAAAGAGUGAGUAUUUCCGUUUUGGUAUGAGGGAUUCUCUUGCGAUUGAGGCAUCUUUCCUUCAGAGAGAAGAUGAGUUGUUGUCACUCUGGUGGAAAGAGUAUGCAGAAUGCAGUGAAGGUCCGAGACCACAAGUUAAUUCUAAAAGCAAAUUGGUUAAGCAGUCAAUCGAAACUCCUUCUGAAGCUUCUGUGUCCUCUAGUCUAUAUGAAGUUGAAGAGGAAAGAGUUGGUGUACCUGUUAAGGGUGGGCUAUAUGAGGUGGACUUGGUGAGGAGGCAUUGUUUUCCCGUGUACUGGAAUGGAGAUAAUCGCCGUGUGCUUAGAGGCCAUUGGUUUGCUCGUAAAGGUGGCCUAGACUGGCUUCCAAUGCCAGAAACACUUUCUGAGCAGUUGGAGGUUGCAUAUCGUAACAAGGUUUGGCGCAGAAGAAGUUUUCAACCCUCUGGGCUUUUUGCAGCUCGUAUCGAUUUGCAGGGUUCCAGUCUGGGACUCCAUGCUCUCUUUACUGGGGAGGAUGACACCUGGGAAUCGUGGCUUAAUGUUGAUCCUUCUGGAUUCUCUGGCAUUGUUGGAUAUACUGGGAAUGGAAUUAAGUUGAGACGAGGUUAUGCUGGUUCCUACUCUUCAAAACCUACGCAGGAAGAACUACGACAACAAAAGGAGGAAGAAAUGGAUGACUACUGUUCUCAAGUCCCUGUUCGUCAUCUUGUAUUUAUGGUUCAUGGUAUUGGCCAAAAAGUCGAAAAGUCUAAUCUUGUUGACGAUGUUGGAAAUUUUCGGCAAAUCACGGCAGCUUUAGCGGAGCGUCAUCUAACCUCUCAUCAGCUCAGCACUCAACGAGUCCUUUUCAUCCCAUGCCAGUGGAGAAAGGGUCUAAAGCUAAGCGGUGAAGCUGCUGUUGAUAAAUGUACUUUAGACGGUGUACGGCGUUUACGAGAGAUGCUGAGUGCAACUGUUCAUGAUGUGUUAUACUACAUGAGCCCCAUAUACUGUCAGGCUAUAAUUGAUUCGGUUUCAAAGCAGCUGAAUAGACUGUAUCUGAAAUUUUUAAAGCGGAAUCCUGACUAUGUAGGAAAGAUUUCCAUUUAUGGACAUUCUUUGGGGAGUGUUCUCUCCUAUGACAUCUUAUGUCAUCAGCACAAUUUGUCAUCCCCAUUUCCAAUGGAUUCAAUAUACAAGAAAUUUUUUCCAGAUGAAGAAUCUCCUCCAGUUCCAGCUGGCGUGGACAAACCUUGUAGUUCACAUCCAUCAUCAAAUCUUGAGUCAGAAAAAUCAAAGCAGUUGAAUAACACUGAGGAAAUCACAGGUCAAGAUAAUAACAUGAUGGCUAAAGAAUCAACGGUAUUGGAGGAUCACGAUGUCAUCCAGGAAGCUCCUUCAUUGAUCUCUGAUUCUGUUGUAGACAACGUGGGUUUGGAAAGAAGAGGCAGCCAGGAAGAUGACCAUCAUGAUUCUAAUGGUGCUAUUUCCGCACAGGAUGGUCCAGAUGGAGCGAACUGUGAAACACCUGAUUCUUCAUCAUGUUCUCAAGAGCAAUCAUGGGAUAAAGAGAGUGGCAUUUCUAAUAAUGAGAAGACUAUCAAGUUGUUACAAGAAGAGGUUAACUCAUUGAGGUCAAAAGUAGCGCAGCUGCAAUCAGAGAAUGCCAGGAUAUUGUCUGAUGAAAAAGCGAAGGCAUCUGUGGUGCCUAAGCAGUUCAACAACGAGAAGGCGCCAACUGAAGAUGCCAAUACACCAACAAGCUUUACUCCUUUUAUCAAGUACCAAAAGCUUGAGUUCAAGGUUGACACUUUCUUUGCAGUUGGGUCUCCUCUUGGAGUAUUUCUCGCCCUUCGAAAUAUACGUCUUGGGAUAGGUAAGGGAACAGAUUACUGGGAAGAGGAGAAUGCUAUUGAAGAGAUGCCAGCUUGUCGUCGAAUGUUCAACAUUUUUCACCCUUAUGAUCCUGUUGCAUAUAGAUUGGAGCCACUUGUCUGUAAAGAGUACCUUCCCAGGCGACCUGUUAUUAUUCCCUACCACAGAGGUGGUAAGCGGUUGCAUAUUGGAUUACAGGAUUUCAAAGAGGAUUUUGUGGCGCGUUCACAGAGAGUAAUGAAUCAUUUUGAUUCAGUAAGGACAAGAGUUCUCACUAUUUGUCAAUCCAAAAGUGCGGAUAACCUAGACGAGAUGGAAGAAACUGAUGACGAAAAGGAUGGAAGGACCUAUGGUUCCUUAAUGAUGGAGAGAUUAACUGGAACUAGAGAUGGUCGAAUAGAUCACAUGCUCCAGGAUAAAACCUUUGAGCAUCCGUAUCUACAAGCAAUAGGAGCUCAUACAAACUAUUGGAGAGAUAAUGAUACUGCUCUUUUUAUAAUUAAACACUUGUAUCGCGAGUUACAAGAUGAACCAAACUCACCCAUGGAUUCCGUCGAAGGAGAUGAUAGUCCAAAAGACUCAAGUAGACCUCAUAGCUGGAUAGACGGAAGUGAGACUAAUUAUGAUGAUGAAGAACUUCCUUUAACAUUCUCCGACAAACAAAUCGCUAGAACCUUCUCCGCAGAAGCCAAGAAAUAUUUGAAGAAGCCUUGAGACUUCUGACCAUGGGUUUGAAUAUUUGAAAUCUGGCGAGCUCCCUGAUUUUGUUUUUGUUUCCUGUGCAGAAGUAACAUAUAGUGUAGAAGAUGUGAAAAGGAUAAACUCUUACAUGGUUUUGCCACAUUGUAACCAUAAUGUCUGGAGUUGAAGAUGUUUCGCAGACAUUGGCUGAAAAACUGAGUCAGACUCUAAAGCUUCAGCGAGUUCAGGCCACACGAUAGCAGAAACUGACCACGAGCCAUCAUUGCAGGCGCUAGGUCGCUGGUUCAGCCACAGGGAACCGUCGUCCUGAAGACAAGACCAAAGCUGGCCCUUCUUGUCCGAGAACCACCCGAGCCAACAUCAGUCC